CAGCCGUAAACAAUGUGCGUUAGGUGUGUCGGUAACCACGCGUUACUGAUGCGCCGAAGAGAAAUCGUGAAACGCACCACCUGGGAAGUACGGUCGCAAGGCUGAAACUUAAAGGAAUUGGCGGGGGGAGCACCACAACAGGUGGAGCCUGCGGUUUAAUUGGACUCAACGCCGGGAAGCUCACCGGAUAGGACAGCAGAAUGAUUGCCGGGCUGAAGACCCUGCAUGACUAGCUGAGAGGAGGUGCAUGGCGUAGACGUCU
rnacentral:rRNA from 1 species